AAGUGAUCUGCCCGCCUCACCUCCCAAAGUGCUGGGAUUACAGGCAUGAGCCCCCGUGCCCAAACUGUUUAUUAAAUUAAAACUUGUGCCACACCAGGUUUCCUCAAAGAACCUCUGGGUCCACAGUGGGUGGGGCUGCCAUGCGGUUGGUGCCCUGGGGCAAAGCACAGAACUGCCUCCUGCACAAGGCCACGGCCCCUGCAGCCAGCCGCAACUUCGGCUCUCUCCUGGCCCCACGAAGCCCCAGAGUCCCCUCCCCGCUGGCCCCUGCCCCCAAUGCAGGCUCUGCCUGUCACUUGCUGGACGAGUUCCCCAGCGUUCCUCAGCGUCUCAAACAUCAAAGGCUUCAUUUGAAAAUGGGAUAAAAACAUCUCCAGGGCGGGGCGGCUGCUAACAGCAGAGGCCUCCAUGGGAGACGCUGGUACAGCCAAUUCCAGGCGCCACGUACUUCAAGCACCCAGAGAACUGCGGCCAGUUAUUUUUUCUGAUUUUAUAUUAUUUCUUAAAUAGGGCGUCUCGCUUGUUGCCCAGGCUGGUCUUGAACUCCUGGGCAAAGUGAUCGUCCUGCCUUGGCCUACCAAAUGCUGGGAUCCCAGGCGUGAGCCCCUGCGCCCAGCUGACUGAGGCCUGCUCUAACUUCAUGUGACGGAGCGAGUUUCCUGGCUUGGAAAUAACUGAAAAGAUUCAUUUUCUCUUUGUGUACAAAGGAUUCAAAAUAUUUUCACAUCUUCCUUCUGCCAGUUAAACGUGCCGUGGCUCCAAUACACACCAAAGCCAAGCGUACUUGGCCACGUGGGAGGUGAGCGUGGGGGGAGCAGUGCCUGCCCCACCUCCACCACUGCUCAGAAGCCGCAGCAGUCAUGACCAAGAGGACCGGGUGCCCUGGUGCCCACACCCUGGGCCUCGAACCUGCGGCGUGCACGUGGGUGCCAGGAAAGGGACAGCGGGGGACAGACUGUGGCCCUGGGCAGCGAUGCCCCACAAAGGAGUCCCAUCCAGGCUGGAGGACGUGGCUCCUGGCCACAGGGGCUCCGGCCUCUCCUCCCGGAUUCCAGUCAGGGUUCCCAUGACACCCGGACAAACCCCAGGUGAAACGCCCUCGCAGCCCUGUCAGAGCAGCCCGGGGCCAGGGCUCUUCAUCACGCGGUGCUGAAGCAGCUCCAGGCUGGGGCGGCCUCCAGGGAGGGCAGGGAGUCAGGGCCCCAGGAGCCCUGGUGCACCCGAGGACUCCGCUGCCCGCCGGGGCCCGGGGGAAGCAGCACUUACUGGUCCUCGUUGCGGAAGACGCCCCACACCACGCUGACGGCCACGCAGAAGAGCGCCAGGAGCAGCAUACGGGCCUGCGGGCGCUUGUGGAAGUAGGGCAGG
rnacentral:lncRNA from 1 species